rnacentral:rRNA from 1 species
CUACACCUGUGCACUUACUGUGGGCUACAGAUCGUGAAGCAGGCUCUUUAUGGGCUUGUGAAGCGUGUCUGCGCCUGCGUUUAUCACAAACCCUACAAAGUAUUAGAAUGUGUAUUUGCGAUGUAAUGCAUCUAUAUACAACUUUCAGCAACGGAUCUCUUGGCUCUCGCAUCGAUGAAGAACGCAGCGAAAUGCGAUAAGUAAUGUGAAUUGCAGAAUUCAGUGAAUCAUCGAAUCUUUGAACGCACCUUGCGCUCCUUGGUAUUCCUUGGAGCAUGCCUGUUUGAGUGUCGUGAAAUCUUCAACCUAUAAACCUUUGCGGGUUUUGUAGGCUUGGACUUGGAGGCUUGUCGGCCUUUGUUGGUCGGCUCCUCUCAAAUGUAUUAGCUUGGUUCCUUGCGGAUCGGCUUGUUGGUGUGAUAAUGUCUACGCCGCAMCCGUGAAGCGUUUGGCGAGCUUCUAAUCGUCUCGUGCAUGAGACAACGUUUAUGACCUCUGGCCUCAAAUCAGUAGGACUACCCGCUGA